AGAAUGGGCUGAAACUUUUGUGAGGUAGACAUAAAGUUGUUUUUAAAAUUAAAAUGGACAUGGUAACCACUUGGUUUGCAGUGAUGUAUUACUUUAAACUUGUAUCUCAACCCUAUUUUUACUUGAAUCUUCAACAAAAAAGACCCUAAGUACAGAAAUUUUUGGCUUAUAAAAUUUUGUAGACCAAGAUGGUCGCAAUUUUUCACCUUCUAUCCUUAAUCAUGACUCAUGAGGCUUGGAUGAACAAUUAUGUGCUGGAGAUGUUUAAUGGGUUUGUAAUCUAAUAGCAACAUUAAAUUCAGGUCUCCUUUUAAAGUUAAUUUGUUACCAAAAAAAAAAAAAUUUCAAGUCUCCUUUUCGAGUUAAUUUGUUACAAAAACAAAUCAUCUUUACUGUCCUUUCACAUAUUUGAUCUUCUUUGAUAUGGAGUGUUUCACAGCUUCCUAAUUGGUUCAAAAGCCUUGCUUCAGGCAACCUGCAAGUAUUAAAGACAUUGGAGAAAUUAUGUUUGGGUGAACUUUAUUAAUUAAAAUAUUAUGGUUAUUAUGAUUGUUGCGAUACCUUUAACUGUUAUUUAUUUUGUUCAAUUACUUGUAAAGAUAGACCUUAUUAGAAGAUCUGGCAUGUUCUGUAUGUGUGUGAGUGUGGAUAUAAUUAAUGUAUGUGAAAAUCUGCAUUUCAUCAGCUUAUUCUGGAGAAUUGUUGGUCAAGCUAAAAAUGUUCUUCCAAGAAGGAAUAUAUUCACAUGUAUUAGUAACAUUAUUUUUUUAUAGUUUUAUAAAUGUUUGUAUUUUUUGAUUAAAAAGCCAACCAUUGGACAUUCUAUUCAGAUAAAUCAGUAAUGUCAAAGUUUACAUUCAUCAGAUAUCGGUGUCCAGUGAGUAUGCCAUCAAUAUGUGUCAAACUCAUUCACAAAUUAUAUUAAGGUAAAGUUUGAUUCGGAUGAAUUGAGUGAAUAAAAAAGCCUCUGAAUAUGAGGAUAUGAAAUUUGAAGUGCAUGAUCUGCAUGAAUAAAAUAUUGCAUCUAAUGCUUGUAUAAUUUAGUCCCCUCCCUUUUCAUAUGUUGCUAGCAUAGUUUGUUAAUUUGAGUAAAUGCUAUUGUGAAAUAUGAGCACUUCAGUUCAUGUAUGUAAUUGUUGUUAUUGUCUUGUAACAACCAAAUUUGCUUCAAUUGUCACAGUGAACUAAAUGAUACAGUAAUU
rnacentral:misc_RNA from 1 species